GAUCCUGGGAUACUGGAACGAAAAGGGUCAACAUACGAGGAGCAUUUGACAGCUUUGGGGCUGUACUCACUGAAAUUUAAAAGAAUGUGGAGAAGAGUCUCAUUGAAACCUACCGAGUAUAGACUGGAUGUGGAGAGCCAGAGGGCACAGCCUCAAAAUUGAAAGUCAUCCCUUUAGAACAGAGAUGAAGGGGAAUUUCUUUAGCCAGAGGAUGAUGAAUUCAUUGCCACAGAUGACUAUGGAAGUCAAGUCAUCAUGUAUAUUUAAAAUAGAGGUCGGUAAGGGUGUCAAAGGUUAUGGGGAGAAGGCAGGGGAACAGGGUUUUUUUAUUCCUCUCUAUUCCUUGUGGCACACUGGAUGGCAGCCUUGAUGUUUCUUUAGCAUUUUUGUCCUUUUUUCUGGAGGCCGAGUUGCUAACUCGAUGCUCAGCCCAGCACGGAUGGAAAGCAUGCAAGGAGCCGGCAGGAUUCAAACCCCUGUGAUCAAGCAGCAGAGCAGAUUCAAUUGGCUGAAAGGCCUAACUCUGCUCCCAAGUCUUAUGGUUAAUCUAGGGUAAGGAUACAACUGGCCGGAGAGGGUGCAGAUGUUACCAGUGCUGGUGAAUUAGUUAUAGGGAAAGACGGCCCAGAUUGGACAAGAUAAACAGGGCAGAGAUUUGAUUCAGGCAUAAAGAAUUGAGAAGGCUAAUCAGGAGAGCAUAAGGUGCCCAUCUUCCUCCACAAAGAGGUUACCAUUUCGCUCUAUGGUUCAACUUAAUAAGAGAAAAGAUUAUUUCACCAAACAAGUGAUGUGGAUCUGGAACUUGCUGCCUGCAGAGGUAGUGUAUACAAUUACAUUUUUAAUAUUUCCCUCACCUUCCCCUCUUCUUUUCCCCACUCUGGCCUCUUACCUCUUCUCAUCUACCUAUCACCUUCUCCUGGGUCCCCUCCUCCUCCCCUUUCCCCUAUAGUCUAAUCUCCUCUCCUACCAGAUUCCUUCCUCUCCAAUCUUUUAUCUUUCCCUCCCAACUAGGUUCACCUCUCAGUUUCCUCCCCCACACCUUUUUAUUAUAGUGGCUUCCCCCUUCCUUUCCAGUCCUGAAGAAGGGUCUCAGAUCAAAAUGUCAGCUGUUUAUUCCUCUCCAUAGACGCUGCCUGACCUGUUGAGUUCCUCCAGCAAUCUGUGUGUGUUAUUUCCAGCAUCUUUAGACUUAUUUCUGUUGCUGCAAAUCACAUUUAAGCUGGAUGUGGAUGAUCCUCAGAGAACCCUGGCCCGUGAACAAGGGAGCUAACAAGCAUCUGUGGAGGAGAUUGGACAGCUGCCAUUCAGUGUGGACCUUGGUCUAUCGCUCCUUACCCAGAGAAGUCCGAAAUUGAGAGCUGAUGUCUAUGAAUCCAGGGCUAAGGACUAGAAGCCCAGAGGUGGCCUGUCUGCUACAGUUGGUUUUUAUUUGGUUCUUCCUGAUGUGACUCCUUCAAGCAAGCCCAAUAACAAGGUCCUAGUGCAAUGCCGUAAGUUUCCUGCGACCUGAUCAUCUCUCAUGGAUUCCAUUGCCAGUGUCGGUCAUGUCGGGAACUACGAUAAUGAAACCAGCCAUGACUCCAGCUAUAGCGAUGAUUCUUGGAAUGACCUUUCGGUGGAAGAGAAGGAAUGUUUGAUGUUCUUUGAAGAGACGAUUGAUUCCUUUUAUGCGGAGGAAUUGGAAGAAACUGAAACUGUAUCCGCUAAGAACGGGAAUCAUCUCCCACCUCGUCCUGAAAACCUGCAUUUCCAAACUGCAGAGGCUGCUGGAAAAUUUCCACCGGCAGUUUCACCGUUCCACGAGGAUAGCAGCAAUUCACCGUCCCCACAGGUGGAAGAGGGAAAUUCUGGAUUGAAUUCACUUCCCAAGUACAGCUUGGAGCCUAGUGGUGACAGCCUUGGUCUGGAGACCAGCACUGAAGAAAUUUGGCAAAGGUCCCUCCCGACACCAGUUCAUCUGCCGGUGGAAUCCAGGAAUGACAAGGUGAAGUUGGGCCCUCCGACUGCUCCGAAACCUGGGAAACUUCCCCCCAACAUCAUACUGAAAAGCUUCAAGAGAAGUGAUCCUGGGCUGCAUCCUCCGGGUCCUCUGAAAGGUCCAAAAGAUGCUCAGCGAAACAAUGGGGCGUCUAAGGACGGUGUCAAUGAGGGCGAGGCGCAGCAGAUCCGGAUGGAGGCUUUGGCCAAACUGGGGUUGCUAUCGGAUACAGGAGGCUGGAAGUGGGGCCAUUCGGAUUUCGUGAGAGCAGCCAAUGGUCAGUUGGGCACUAGGGACGGCGGGGAGAAAGGCAGUCACCCCGAGACAGAUGUGAUGCAAAGCAAGCAUCACAGUCCGAGAGGUCUGCAUGUUGAUACCAGCCACCCAGUUGCCAGCGCUGCGGGUCCUGGCAUGAGGCUGGCAGCUGAGAAACCAAGCAAGGGCCCAGAUAAUGGGAAAAGGCUACACUGGCAGCUGCCAGCUGCCAAAUCAAACAACUUGAAGAGGUUUAGUGCCUCCAAUGAGAGCAUUCUACCCAGCCCACAUCUGAUGCCAUCCAACACUGCCCUGAGCGCUGGCACCAGCAAGACAUUGCCCACUGUCAAAAGAUCCACAAAUUUAAAUGAAGGCCACGUGAGGAAUGUCAGCUUACCACACUGGCCACUGGGCUCCGGUAAAUCCAGCAGCCUGAAGCGGUUUGGUGCAUCAGGUGAUAACCAGGUGAAUCCGUACCCUGACCUGACGCGGGCUGGCUCCGUCGUUGGCACUGCCGGUGUUCCGGGUCAGAAAAAUGUCUCUAAACCAAGGCCCAUGUCGAUCUGCUCAGAGAACGAUCUGUCUGCCCGGCAUGGAGCCCCUCUGGAUAAGGUGCCAUCUGAGAAGCCAUCUGGGAAAUUUUUCCCAAUAAGAAUACGGCACAUCUCGGCCAAAUCUCCGCCCAAGGGACUGAGCGUACAAGCGGUCCCACCAGGGCCCACCAACAAGGACCACAAAGAGGCUUUGAAAAAACUUGGUCUUCUGAAAGAGUAACCCACUGUCUUGGGGUGUACCAGGUAUUUAUGGACUUCAUGGUCUCUACCAAUUGCAAUGGAGGAACGUCGCCCACAUACAACAGGAAUAACGCGUUUAAUUGCCACACCGCAAAAGCCAUAGUGGACACUGGGAGGCCUCCAGUUUAGGAUUGGCAGCAGAAAGGCCGUUGUUUUAUGAUGCUGAUAUGAAAUGGCAGUUUAAUUGUCUUGGAUUUAAUUUGAUGUUCUGCUGCUGGAGUACCAUUUUGGUACAUGACUUGCUGGUGAGCUUUUGUGUGGGUGGCCACGUUCCUGCUGCCCCACCAGUGCAUCUGGAAGCUGUGAGUGGUCAGUCACUGCCUGGACGUCCCCCAUCAUGUUGCUACUGGGAGAGAAUUUGCUCUCUUGUCAUGUCUUCUGUCUAGACUUGCAAAAGGGAACACUCAUAAAACAGUAACAAAAAUUCUAAAAGUACUAAAGCACGUUAGGCAGCGAAAGAGGGGAAAGAAACCUAGAUCUUUCAGAUUCCCUCGCCUGUUGUCUGAACCUGACUGCCGGGGAAGGUCUAGUUACUUCUCUUUUCACUGAGGUGAGUGACUGCAGACUCUGGAAUCUGGAGUAACUAACACACACACUCUCUUUCUCUGUUGGAGGAACUCAGCAGUCAUGUCAAGACCCUUCAUCUGAACUGGAUACUGUUAAAGUGUUGUAACUUCAAAGCAGUAAACUAAUUCAAAGAAGCUAUUGGGAGUUUACUUUAAAUGUGGAACCCCCAUACAAGGUGUUAGUGUGAUGACAUAAGCAGUUAAUGUAUGUUUGCCUAUAACCUGUAAUUACUUAAAUAAACAAAAAUACAUAAUUUACAUAUAAAAUGCCACAUUGAGGCUACACUCAGGUUGGAGGAGCAACACCUCGUAUUCUUUCUGGAUAGCCCCCAACCUGAUGGCAUGAAUAUUGGUUUCUCGAACUUUCAGUAAUCCCGCCCCUUUCUCUCUUUUCUGUCUCCUGUUCUGGCUCCCCUCUGACCUUCUCUCCUCACCCACCCAUUACCGCUCCUUGCCCCCCUCGGUCCCUAUCUCACAGGUUCCACUCUCCUCUCCAAUUAGAUACAACCUUUUCCAGCCCUCUUCCACCUCUCGCCUCCCAGCAUUUCACUUCACACUCCUUCCCCCAUCCACCCACCAGCCUUCCCACUCGCCUGGUCUCAUCCGUCACCUUGCACUUCUCCUCCCCCAAUUUAUUCUAGCUUCUGCCCUUCCUUCCCAGUCCUGAUGAAUGGUCUCAGCCCAAAACAUAGACUAGUUAUUCCCCUUCAUAGAUGCUGCCUGAUCUGCUAAAUUCCUCCAGCAGUUUGUGUGUGUUACCUUUAAUUUCCAACAUCUGCAGAAAAUCUUCUGUUUAUUUUCUCUUUUUAUUCCUUGUUCUGGUUUCUGUUCUUAAUAGCCAUGUUUCCGUUGUACGUUGAUGUAAUGCUGUUUUCUCUGGGCAAUACAUGGUGUUUUGAGGCCUGAGUGAAUAUUUAACAAAGCUGACUGCACACUGCCUGAGCAGAGGGAACUCUGAAAGCUGAAUUACAGCCAGAACCGGCCAAUACCAGCUGGCUGUGUUUCAGCACUCACUUCUGCUCUCGUGGCUGGCUUCUUUCUGCAGGGUGGGUGAACAGCAGAGGCUGGCUGUGUGAGGAAGAGCUGCCUGAAGCUUCAGCUGUAAAAUUUUGUGUUGGGGGAAGGAUUCAUAAGUAUUAUUGAGAAGUAGGUCAGAAGCGGGGUAUCCCAGGGCAGCGAAUCACUGGCCCAAGAGGCACUUUGGGAGCGAGAGGGAAUGCCCCGCACCUACCUGGAUGUCUCUCAAACUCAACACCAUGCAGGACUCUGCAGCCACUCGAAUGACCUCCCGAUCCUCCGACACUCGCACAUAGUGGCUGCUAUGUGAACCAGUUUCAGAUUGUACUUGCGCGGAGUGGCGCAGUAGUGCAGCGGUUGGCGUAACGCCUUACAGUGCCAACAACCAGAGUUCAAUUGCCACGUCUGUCUGUAAGGAGUUUGUAUGUUCUCCCCGCGAUCGCUUUGGUUUCCUCCCACAGUCCAAAGACCUACGGUAUGGGGGUGGGAAGUGCUGGGCAUGCUGUGUUGGUGGAACUUCUUGUUGGCCCCCAGCACAUCAUCAGACUGUGUUGGCCAUUGACACAAAUGAUGCAUUUCACUGUGUGCUGUGGUGCACAUGUGACAAAUCAAGCUUAUCUUAUUUUACCUGGACUGACUUAGCUGCACUCCCAAGCCUCAGACCUCUAUCAUGAGCGUGGAGACCACCAUCGUACCCUGAUUUCCCCUUUGAGCUGUCUUUGGGUCUGGAUCCUAGAACACUCCUAUUCACUGUGAGCACCUUCACUGGAAGGACUCGGUUUGAGAAGGCAGCUCCCCACCGUUUUCUUGAGGACAAUAGCUUUUGCUCUUGCUUGCAAUGAGCAGAUGCUGAAAAAAAUUCAAUAUGAAGGCUGAUCGUUAUCAGUCUGAUGGUGUGAAAAUGAUUCUACCUGGGUAGCCUCCAAACUGAUGGCACAAUAACCACUGCUGCUUCAUCUCCCAAAAGCGGAAUGGCCUGAUGGCCCGACAUUUUAAUUCUCAUUCCCAUUCCCGUUCCAACCUGUCCACAAUGAGGCCACCCUUGGGGUAAAGGAGCAAUACUUAAUAUUUCUUCUGCAAACCCUCCAAUCUGAUGACAUGAAUAUAGAGUCUCCUUCCACUAAAACAAAUUGUUCCUCCCACUCCCCUCUUCUUGUACUCCCCACUCUGGCCCCUUACAUCUUCUCAGCUGCCUGUCACCUCACUCUGCCCCUCCUCCUUCCCUUUCUCCAACAGGCCACUCUCCUCUCCUAUCAGAUUCCUUCAUCUCCAGCUCUUUACCUUGGCUUCACCCAUCUUCUUCCGCUCCCAUUCUUAUCAGUGCAGUGCAAAAUUUGCCAUGUUCCUUGUCAAUGCUUCAGAAUGGUUGCAUUUCUACAUUAUCUCACAAACAUCUCAAUGCUCAAAAAUACCCUUGUAGAGUGUGUCUUUUCUCCCCAUGGUGCCCCUCCUCCUUCCCUUUCUCCCGUGGUCCACUCUCAGAUUCCUUCAUCUCCAGCCCCUUUCCUUUUCCUUUUUAAACCACUUUGCUUCACCCAUCUCCUCCUUCUGUUCUGCCCCCCCCCCCACCUUUUUAUUCUGGCAUCUUCCCCCUUCCUUUCCAGUCCUGAAAAAUGGUUUCAGCCCAAAACAUCGACUGUUUGUUCAUUUCCAUGAAUGCUGACUGGCCUGCAGAGUUCCUCCAGCAUUUUGUGUGUGUGUGCAUUGGUCUGAGUAUUUAUCCAAUGAGGUGUGACGACCAAGUUGCUGGGGUUUUACACUUCUGCUCCAAGCCCCCACGUUAGCUGAGUUGGUGCCCCCCCAUGGGGAACCUUACUGCCAAACAGUCAUCAUCAUUAUGUGCCAUGUCGUAUGAUGUACGUGAUCAAGGUCUUUCCAUGACUAUGAUUGUUCUUGGCAAAUUUUUCUACAAGAGUGGUUUACCACUGCCGCCUUCUGGGCAGUGUGUUUACAAGACGGGUGACCCCAACCAUUAUCAAAUCUCCUCAGAGAUUGUCUGCCAAGCAGGCAAUUUGCCCAAAGCAACCUGCAGGCUAGUGGGGGGAAAGAGUGCCUUACACCUCCUACAUUGAGAUGUUUUUCCACCUUGUCACCCAAAGCUGUACCUAUUGGACGUGGAGCAGGAGUAUCCCCCAACACUGGGAGAUUGGGAGUUUGUUCAGAGUGAAACAGUGCUAGCAGCGCAUUUAUUUUUAGGUAAACUAACAUCAUGUGAGUUUUGUUUAUACAAUAUCUCAGCAGAGAUCCUGAAGUUAAGGCAGCAUUCUCUUGGGUAAAGCUUGGUUAGAGUCGUAUAAAGUUGAAAUAUCUGUCAGAGCUCUGUGACCAUAAGACACGGGAGCAGAAUUAGACCACUCAGCCCAUCAGGUCUGCUCCACUAUUUGAUCAUGGCUGAUUUAUUAUCUCUCUCAACCCCAUUCUUCUGCCUUCUCCCUGUAAUCUUUGAUGUCCUUACUGAUCAAGAAUCUAUUAGCCUGCAUUUUAAAUAUACCCAAUGACAGCCUCCACAGCUGUCUGUGGCAACGAAUUCCACAGAAUCACCACCCUCUGGUUCUCAUCUCUGUCCUAAAGGGGAGUCCUUUUAUUCUGAGGCUGUGCCUUCUGGUCGCUAUUGGAAAUAUGCUCUCUAUCUAGGCGUUUCAAUAUUUGAUAGGUUUCAUUGAGAUCCCACUUUGUUCUGCAGUGACUACUGACCCAGAGCCUUCAAAUGCAACUCAUAUGUUUAGUCCUUCAUUCCAGGAAUCUUUCUUAUUUACCAGGGGUUCCCAACCUUUUCUAUGCCAGGGACCAAUACCAUUGCACAGAGUCCAUGCUCCCUAGGUUGGGAGCCCUGUUGUCAAUCUUCACUGAACUCUCUCCAAUGCUGCCACAUCCUUUCUCAAAGCUGCUCACAAUAAAAGGAGGACUGGUCUGGAAUUUGAACAUCUUCUUCCUCUUGCACCCCAAAGCAAGAAUCAUACCCCCUAGAUGAACAAACUGCUGUGAUGCAAACCUGCACAAAAAUGGAUAAAUUCCAGGGUCACUAUUAGAGAUUCCACACGCUUCUUGUUCUUUGUGAUAUUAAUAGUUGGGAUUUAAUGUUGUAUUCAAAUAUAAUGUUAUAUUCAAAAUAACAUUUAAAAUAAUGUUAUAUUCAUUAAAACAUUAAAAGUUGGGCAUGAUAGAAUUUGCACAUGAUGAUGACACAAGCAUUAAUGAUGUGGUAGAGAGUGAGAAGGAAUGUUUCAGACUAGAGGACAUGGGUCUGUUCAGUCAGACAGAGGCUUGGUGAUGGAUUAUAAUCCACAAGUGUGUGGGUGUGCAACAAAUACACAAUAAAUGGGAGGAUAUUGAGAGGGUAAGCGCCGAAAACCUUUGCUCCAAUUCCUGAGCACAUCUGUCUGGUCCCAGGCUGCCUAGUGUUGGGGAUGGUCUUUCAGAUGCCCAACCUCUGACUAGUGUAUGCUGAGAUAUAUGCACAAACACAGAGUCAUAGAGAAGUCCAGCACAUAAACAGGCCCUUCAGCCCAUCUAGUCCAUGCCAAAGCCAUUUAAACUGCCUACUCCCAUCGACCUGCCGCAGGACCAUAUCAUGUACCUAUCCAAACGUCUCUUCAGCAUGAAAUCAAGCUCCAUGCACCACUUGUUCUGGCAGCUCAUUCCUCAUUCCCACCACCCCCUGACUGAUGACAUUUCCCCUCAUGUUGCCCUUAAAUUUCUCACCUUUCACCUUUAACCCAGGAUCUCUGGUUGUAGUCCCACCCAACCUUAGUGGAAAAAGCAAUUCAAAUUUCAAACUUACUUUGAACUUUUGAACCUGUUCCCCAUUAUCAUUGAAAGUUUAAUUGGCUAAUUUCUUCCUCACUCAUGUUGAAGGUGUCAGAGCCUUUUAUAAAUUCGAUUUUCCCUCUCAGUGUUUCCUUGUGUGUUUGGUUAUGAGUAAUGUAAAUACUGCCUGUUGGCAUUAAACAAGAACGGAGCUACAAUCUGUGAACAAUAAGGCGGUAACUAACCUGGCACCCUCUCAUUUCCCAUUCAAGGCAAGGCUUUUGUUCACAUUUUAAAUCUAUAGGCAAAUGGUGUUUGGGUUUUCCACGUGCUCGUCACUGAGAGGAACGUGGGGUUAUCUCAUUUGUGUGGGCUGGGAAACUCUCUGGGCUGAUUGGUUCUGGACGCUGUUUAUUCUUGGGCUCAGUAGCCACCUGUUCUGGUGCAUCUGUGCCCCGUACACAGCGGGCAUUCUGUGAGGUGGAGGGAGCUCUGCGAUAAGAAAAGCCCUCUGGGUGGGCACCACCCUACCCCUGAGACCAGACCAACAAAGCGGCAGCUCUCUUCCAACCCUCAUAAAUUUUACUGAUAAUCUGAUGCAUUUUAAAAGCUUCAGAUAGAUUAUUAACUGAUUUUCUUCUAAUUAAAGUACUAGUGGCUAGAGUAAUGCUUUAUGGCGUCAGUGGGGGUUCAAUUCCUGCUGCUGUCUGUUAGGAGUUUGUUUAUUCCCCCUGUGACUGUUGAUAUUCUUCCCACAGUCCAAAGAUCCACAGGCUGGAGCUGCGGGCAUGCUACGUUGGCACCAAAAGUGUGGUGACACUUGUGGGCUGUCGCCCACAUCCUUACACUGUUGGUCAUUGACGUGACACACCUUUGUUUGUUUGUACGUUAUGUGCCAUGUUGUAUCACGUGGGCGAUCGUGGGCUUUCCUUAACCAUGGUUGUUCUUGGCAAAGUUUUCUAUGGAAGUAGUUUGCGACUUCCUACUGGGCAGUGCUUUUACAAGACGGGUGACUCCAGCCUUUAUCAAUACCCUUCAGAGAUUGUCUGCUCCCAUUGGAGGAAGGGUGAGGAGUUUGAUAAAGAUUAGCUUUAUUUGUCACAAGUAUAUCGAGAAUCGACGCAUACAGAGAAAUGCACCAGUUUGUGUCCACGACCAACAGUCUGAGGACAUGCCGGGGGGGGGGGGGGGGAGAGGCAUCUCGCGAAUGUCACUACGCUUUUGACACCAACUGCUAUGGUCGUGGACUAGUUGUCCCAGAGGCUACGUAGCAUCCACUACCAGGCUCAAAAAAACUUACCCUCCGCAAGCAGUAAAUUACCUCCACCGGCCUCAACGCCAUUACCUUAUCAUGUCCUGUCAAUCACUUUUUGUAUGACCAAAGCCUAGCAUCACUUUAUGGACAUUCAAAGUAAAUUUAUUAUCAAAGAGCAUAUAUGUCAUCAUAUACAACCCUGAGAUUCAUUUUCUUGUGGACGUAGUCUAUAAAUCUAUAGAAUAAUAACCAUAACAGAAUAAUGAAAGACUGUCCAACUGGGGCAUUCAACCAGAGUGCAGAAGACAGCAAAGUGUGUGGAUGAGAACAGAAAAAAUAUUAAUAAUAAAUAAACUAGCAAUAAAUAGCAAGAGCAUGAGAUGAAGACUCCUUGGAAGUGAGUCCAUAGGUUGUGGGAACACUUCAGUGAUAAGGCGAGUGAAGUUAUCCCCUUUGGUUCAAGAGCCUGAUGGUUGAAGGGUAAUACUGUUCCUGAAUCUGGUGGUGUGGGUCCUGAGGCUCUUGUACCUUCUUCCUGAUGGCAGCAGCAAGAAGAGAGCGUGGCCUGGGUGAUGGGGAUCCCUGAUGAUAGAUACUGCUUUCCUGGGACAACGCUCUGUGUAGACAUGCUCAAUGGUUGGAAGGGCUUUAAUCAAUGAUGGAUUGGGCCAUUUCCCAUACAAGUGCAUUGGUGUUUCCAUAUCAGGCUGUAUGUAUUAAUGUAUAUAAGCUAUUUUAUGUGUAUAAAUAUAUAUAUUUAUUUAAA